rnacentral:lncRNA from 1 species
GGAGGGCGAAUGGGGAGUUGUUGUUUAAUGGGUGCAGAGUUUCAGUUUGGGAAGAUGAAAAAGUUCUAGAGACGGAUGGUGGUGAUGAUUGCACAGCAGUGUGACUGUGCUGAAUGCCCCUGAGCUGUAGACCUGAAAAUGGCUAAGACGGUAAAUUUUAUGUCAUUGGUAUUUUAUGACAGUUAAAAAUAAAAAAUUCAUACGGAACAAUUUGCUGAACAGUCAGUCCCCAGUUGGUGGAAAUGAAGGUGUGCUCAGUUUUUUGCUUCUUCCAACACUGUUAUCCUUUGUAAAUAAGUUCAGGUUUACCUCUGGGAGAUAUUCACACGAGAGGAUUGACUGGUUAAACAGCUCGUAUAUUUUCCUCCUAGACUUGCGCCAACUGACACUCACCUCCAACCACCAGGAGAGCCUGAUCGCCUCCACCCUCGUGGCCAGCUGGGCAGAGGCUAGACUUGCACCGGCUCCACCUGCCCCAGCAUCCACCUUCAGCUCCACGCACUCCUGGGCCAAGUAUUCCAAGCUUCUACAGGAAACCUUUUUUGUCCUUGGCAACAAGAAGGGACAUGGAUUUCAGCCUAUCCUUGUGGGCUCCAGGCCACACUUGGGGUUCCAGCAGCUCUGGAUCCUCCCCUCCACUUUACACCCAUCUUCCCUCCUGACUCACUGCCACAAGGAUGUCAAGCUCCAGCAUCAGACUGAAGCCUUACAGAGGCCCCCGACCAGCAUCCGCAGUUACGGGUCUUGCUUCUUUGACUGAACCCAGGCUGAUAUAAAUGGGAUAUCUUUAAUUUUUCUUUAAAGUAUAAGUUGUAUGUGGGAAUGUAAAUUGGUGCAGCCAUUUUCGAAAACAGUAUGGACGUUCCUCAAAAAAUUAAAAAUGCAACCACCAUAUGAUCCACUUCUGAGUAUAUAUCCAAAGGAAAUGAAAACAGGAUCUUGAGAGAUGUCUGCACUCCCGUGUUCAUUGCAGCGUUAUUCACAACAGCCAAGGUAUGGGAACAACCUAAGUGUCUGUCGGUGGAUGAGUGGAUAAGGAAGAUGAGGUAUAUUUGUGCAAUGGAAUACUAUCAGCCAUGAGAAAGAAGGAAAUCCUGCUGUUUGUGACAACGUGGAUGGACCUUGAGGGCGUUAUGCUAAACGAGAUAAGAUGGACAAACACAGUAUGAUGUCACUUAUAUGUGGCACCUAAAAGAGCUGAACUCAUAGAAGCAGAGAGUAGAACAUGGUUACCAAGGGCUGGGAGGUGGGGG